rnacentral:rRNA from 1 species
GACGAACGCUGGCGGCGUGCUUAACACAUGCAAGUCGAACGGAAAGGCCCUGCUUUUGGGGGGUGCUCGAGUGGCGAACGGGUGAGUAACACGUGAGUAACCUGCCCUUGACUUUGGGAUAACUUCAGGAAACUGGGGCUAAUACCGGAUAGGAGCUCCUGCUGCAUGGUGGGGGUUGGAAAGUUUCGGCGGUUGGGGCUGGACUCGCGGCUUAUCAGCUUGUUGGGGGGGUAGUGGCUUACCAAGGCUUUGACGGGUAGCCGGCCUGAGAGGGUGACCGGCCACAUUGGGCCUGAGAUACGGCCCAGACGCCUACGGGAGGCAGCAGUGGGGAAUAUUGCACAAUGGGCGGAAGCCUGAUGCAGCAACGUCGCGUGCGGGAUGACGGCCUUCGGGUUGUAAACCGCUUUCGCCUGUGACGAAGCGUGAGUGACGGUAAUGGGUAAAGAAGCACCGGCUAACUACGUG